GCACCUGUAGCUCAACUGGAUAGAGCACCGGACUACGAAUCCGGAGGUUGAAGGUUCGAAUCCUUCCAGGUGUA
rnacentral:tRNA from 1 species